rnacentral:rRNA from 1 species
UACGUAGGGGGCUAGCGUUAUCCGGAAUUACUGGGCGUAAAGGGUGCGUAGGUGGUUUCUUAAGUCAGAGGUGAAAGGCUACGGCUCAACCGUAGUAAGCCUUUGAAACUGGGGAACUUGAGUGCAGGAGAGGAGAGUGGAAUUCCUAGUGUAGCGGUGAAAUGCGUAGAUAUUAGGAGGAACACCAGUUGCGAAGGCGGCUCUCUGGACUGUAACUGACACUGAGGCUCGAAAGCGUGGGGAGCAAACAGG